rnacentral:rRNA from 1 species
AUUGAACGCUGGCGGCAUGCCUUACACAUGCAAGUCGAACGGCAGCACGGGUGCUUGCACCUGGUGGCGAGUGGCGAACGGGUGAGUAAUACAUCGGGACAUGUCCUGUAGUGGGGGAUAGCCCGGCGAAAGCCGGAUUAAUACCGCAUACGAUCUACGGGUGAAAGCGGGGGACCUUCGGGCCUCGCGCUAUAGGGUUGGCCGAUGGCUGAUUAGCUAGUUGGUGGGGUAAAGGCCUACCAAGGCGACGAUCAGUAGCUGGUCUGAGAGGACGACCAGCCACACUGGGACUGAGACACGGCCCAGACUCCUACGGGAGGCAGCAGUGGGGAAUUUUGGACAAUGGGCGAAAGCCUGAUCCAGCAAUGCCGCGUGUGUGAAGAAGGCCUUCGGGUUGUAAAGCACUUUUGUCCGGAAAGAAAUCCUUGGCCCUAAUACGGUCGGGGGAUGACGGUACCGGAAGAAUAAGCACCGGCUAACUACGUG